GUAAACUUUUAGGGUCACAAGGUAAUGGAUCUGUCCAAAAAUACUCCGCAUCUAGGGCAUCCUUGGCAGCUAUCCUCUGAGAAGGAUCAAGAGUGAGCAUCUUCUCCAACAGUUCUAAAGCAUGACGAUCAAAAUGCCUGAAUACUUCUCUAAGACGUCUCUUCAUUGGCCUUGUGGGUUUGAAAUUGUUGUACCAAGGGAUUUUUGAUACCCCAGGCCAGUUGACUUCAUCCGGAGCACCACAU
rnacentral:misc_RNA from 1 species